rnacentral:lncRNA from 1 species
GGCCUGGAUGAGACCCAUCCUGGCAAGAUCUGGGCUGGACCACGUCAGGCCCAAAGAAGGAAGAUGGAGGCUAGAGGAGGGGACAGGGCCUGUGUCGGUCAGAGGAGGAUCGAGACAGACCACUUCUGCCUCCCACCUGGCAGGCCCAGGAGGGCCGGGGGUUCUGGGGGGCGGGGGGCGGGGUGGUCUGGGCUGCAGGUGUGUUGUGGCCUGGCUCCCACCCCAGAAGUAAAUCGCUUCAUUUCCCUGUUUCCUCCCAUCUACCGAGGUUUGUUGGCAUCCUCGUAUUUACUCGGAGCAUUUUGUUCUGUAACUGGAGAAGGAGAGGGACUGUCUGUUGGGAGUAGUUCCAAGAAGAGGAGGAGUAAGGAGGGGACAGGCCCUCCUCCCUGGCUCUCUGGCCUGCACUUGGGGCCACGGGUUAGAGGCUGCAGCCACGAGCAGGACCAGCUCUUGCCACAAAGAAGUGUAGGUCCCUUGAUUCAUCCGGAAGAGGAAUUCUUCCAGAAGGAGAAUAUUCAUCUAGGAUGGGGCAGAAUUGGGAGAUAAGAGGUAAGAGACCUUUUCCUCAAAAAACUGGAGACCCAGCAGAAGGCACAGCUCCCUUCCUCCGGGGUCUUGGGUAAGUCAUUUCACCUCUCCGGGCCUCAGUUCGCUCAUCUAUGAAAUGAGGGCGUGUGUUUAGCUUCCUUCUGAGGCUCCUCCAACUCUGUCAUUGACGGGGCCUCCGGGCAGCACCCUGUCCCCGUCAUCUGUAGGGAAACAGAGGCUCCAGGGGAGGGAGCCCACCGGGUCUUGUGCGUCUGGCCAGGCUUUUCUGGCUGGAACUUUCUCUCCAGGUGCUGCGGGCUUUGUCAGCAGCCUGGGAGACGGGGGACAUGGAGGAUCACAGCGGCAGAUCUUAAAUCAAAGCCCGGGCCAUCCAUCUUCCAGAAGAGACGGAAAUAACUAGGUGGGUGGCACAGACCGCCACCGCAUGGACAGCGAGAGAUUAGAAAGCUGGAAUCUUGAGCCCCUAAGUCCCUUCACCAAUUUCCCCAAACCCCAGGGACCUGCCUGCUGAAGGGAGAACUCAUUUUAGACUUAGCCCAGGAGGGUCCGUGGGCUCGACUGCAGGAAAUUCCUCUGUGUGGGGGCUUCUGAAGGCCCUUCCCCCACCACUGUUCUCUUAGCCCCCUUGCCCAUAGUUUCUCCUUGCAGGCACCCUCACGAGAGUCAGGCUGGCAGUGGUGGGGUAGCCGAGUGGUUAGUGGGUGUGCCAGACCGAUGGCUCAAAUCCUGGCUCCACUGCUCACCAGCUCUGCAAAGCUGGGCAAGCUGCAAAGAGACGGUUUGGCUCUCAGUUUCCUCAUCUAUAAAGCAGGAAGGAGGGGUUCCCGUCGUGGCUCAGUGGAAACAAAUCUGAUUGGCAACCAGGACACAGGUUCGAUCCCUGGUCUUGCUCAGUGGGUUAAGGAUCUGGCGUAGCCCUGAGCUGUGGUGUAGGUCACAGAUGCGGCUCAGAUCUGGUGUUGCUGUGGCUGUGGUGUAGGCCGGCAGCUGUAGCUCU